rnacentral:rRNA from 1 species
UAGGGAAUCUUCGGCAAUGGGGGGAACCCUGACCGAGCAACGCCGCGUGAGUGAAGAAGGUUUUCGGAUCGUAAAGCUCUGUUGUUAAGGAAGAACGAGUGUGAGAAUGGAAAGUUCAUGCUGUGACGGUACUUAACCAGAAAGGGACGGCUAACUACGUGCCAGCAGCCGCGGUAAUACGUAGGUCCCGAGCGUUGUCCGGAUUUAUUUGGCGUAAAGCGAGCGCAGGCGGUUAGAAAAGUCUGAAGUGAAAGGCAGUGGCUCAACCAUUGUAGGCUUUGGAAACUGGUUAACUUGAGUGCAGAAGAGGAAAGUGGAAUUCCAUGUGUAGCGGUGAAAUGCGCAGAGAUAUGGAGGAACACCAGUGGCGAAGGCGACUUUCUGGUCUGUAACUGACGCUGAUGUGCGAAAGCGUGGGGAUCAAACAGG